rnacentral:lncRNA from 1 species
GUCUACGCCGGCGCCACCCACACCACCGGCUUCUACUCCUCCUCCGACGACUCAAGCACCGCCUACACCAACCGCCACUCCGCCACCGGUUUCUACUCCUCCUCCCACUUCAUCACCGCCCCCAGUGACAGCUUCUCCACCCCCAGUUUCAACUCCUCCACCCAGUUCUCCUCCUCCUGCAACUCCACCACCUGCUUCUCCUCCUCCUGCAACUCCACCUCCAGCUUCUCCACCUCCUGCCACUCCUCCACCAGCUUCUCCACCUCCCGCCACUCCACCACCUGCAACCCCACCGCCAGCAACUCCUCCUCCUGCUACCCCACCACCAGCUCCAUUGGCUUCUCCUCCAGCCACAGUCCCAGCUAUCUCUCCAGUACAAACACCAUUGACAUCGCCACCAGCUCCGCCGACCGAGGCCCCAGCACCUACCCUCGGGGCUGCUACGCCAGGUCCAGCUGGAACUGACACGGUACAUUUUCUCUUAUUCCACCAUUUUAUAUCCUUCUUCUCCACCUACGAUCAAGCUUUAUUAUCGGUUGAAAUUUAAGCCUUUACAGCAAGACUUAAAAUAUAAUUUUAUUAAUGGUUUUAUAAUAUUAAAUUAUAAUUUUAUCAUUCUUACACAUUAAUAUAUAAUGUGAUAAAAUUUUUUACUUUGGGUACCGUGCCAACUUCCUAACGUCGCCCUUAAUCUUACAUAAACAACGAUCUGAGCUUGUCUCGAUAUUAGCUAACCCUUAAGCCAUUAGAGAUGGCUAUUGGUUCCGUCUCGACAUACCUUCAACAUAAUCUGAUUUAAAAUUAAAUACUUAUAUCUAUUUUUUAACACAAUAUUUAAAAUUAUCUAUAAUUUCUUCUCAACUUAUAAUUAAAAUAACAAUACUUCAGCGUAUUCAAAUUUACGUACCUAUGUUAAUCUAAUUUGACAAUAAUAUUUAUGUUAAUUGAAUUAAAGCUUGAGAUAUUAAAUUUAAUUAAGA